GAAGGAUCUCUGACAGGUUCUCACUGCUGUCUGGGGAAGAGUUGAUCUGGCUGCCCAGGCUGUCCUGUGGUGGGGCCUACGGACACACUGGGAGACUUUAGGGCUGGGGAGAAUCCCUUGAACCCAGCAAAGUCUGGGCGCCCAUUGAUUCCCAUGUCUACAACUGAAGGCCACGGGUGGCUCCGCCAUGAGUAACUGGCUCCAAGCAAGGAGCAGCUCCAGAGGCCACAGGGCUGACCACCACAAAGCCCCAAAUCUAGUUGCCAGAAACACAGAGAACUUCUGUCUGCAAUCAAAUUUCAGAUUCACAGCAAAGGGACUGGUUUAGUUAAGGUCGUCUCAACUCUUCUUGCGUGAGACAUUCGUCUGAAAUCCAAGUGGGGGUAGCUGAGCUUUGUCUGGGUGUGGCCCGGCAGGCCUGCUCUUA
rnacentral:sRNA from 1 species